rnacentral:rRNA from 1 species
AUUGAACGCUGGCGGAAUGCUUUACACAUGCAAGUCGAACGGCAGCACGGGAGCUUGCUCCUGGUGGCGAGUGGCGAACGGGUGAGUAAUACAUCGGAACGUACCCAGUUAUGGGGGGAUAACUAACCGAAAGGUUAGCUAAUAACCGCAUACGCCCUCGAGGGGGGAAAGGACGGGGGACCGGUAAGGCCUCGCGUAAU